UGGGGAAUAUUGCACAAUGGGCGCAAGCCUGAUGCAGCCAUGCCGCGUGUGUGAAGAAGGCCUUCGGGUUGUAAAGCACUUUCAGCGGGGAGGAAGGCGAUAAGGUUAAUAACCUUGUCGAUUGACGUUACCCGCAGAAGAAGCACCGGCUAACUCCGUGCCAGCAGCCGCGGUAAUACGGAGGGUGCAAGCGUUAAUCGGAAUUACUGGGCGUAAAGCGCACGCAGGCGGUCUGUCAAGUCGGAUGUGAAAUCCCCGGGCUCAACCUGGGAACUGCAUUCGAAACUGGCAGGCUAGAGUCUUGUAGAGGAGGGUAGAAUUCCAGGUGUAGCGGUGAAAUGCGUAGAGAUCUGGAGGAAUACCGGUGGCGAAGGCGGCCCCCUGGACAAAGACUGACGCUCAGGUGCGAAAGCGUGGGGAGCAAACAGG
rnacentral:rRNA from 1 species